rnacentral:lncRNA from 1 species
ACCACAUUGCAAUGACCUAAAACAACAAAGAUUUAUUAUCUUAUAGUUCUGUAGUUCUGAAUUCUACAACAAGUCUGCCUGGACAAACACGAGGGUGUCUUGUUGGCAGGAUUGUCUUUCUUGGUGGAUGCUCUGGGGAGAAUCUGUUUUCUUGCACAUUCCAGCUUCUAGAGGCCACCACAUUCCUUCUCUCAUGCCCCUUUCUCCAUUUUUGAAUCCAGCCUAGUGUUGAAUUCUCAAACACUGCUUCACUCCGACCUCUUCUGACUUCCUCUUCCACAUUGAAGGAGAUGUGUGAUUACAGUGGGCCCACAUGGAUAAUACAGGAUAAUAUCCCUUUUUUAAAGUCAGAACUUUAAUUCCAUCUUCUACCUUGAUUCCCCUUUGCUAUGUGAUAUGACAUAUUCACAGGUUCUGGGAAUUGUGACAUGGACAUCUCAGAGAGGGGGUCAUAAUUCUAUUACAGUGGCUUAGAAAUUCUGGUGCAUCUUAACUGAGGGUCUCUCGUGAGGUUGCAGUCAAGAUGUCAGCUGGUCUUGGUAGAUGCACGUCUCAGAUCCACGCUGCCGACCAAAGGCCCCCUGUGAUAUCACCAGGGGCAGAGUCCAUAUCUCCCGUUUCUGUUCCGGUGGCAGCAUGAGACCUGUCUCGUUGCCCCAGUCUGGAUGUCAGAGUAGGUGCAGCCUAGACGCCUGUCUGCCCUUCUUGCCCCUCUGGAAACAACAGCAGGGGCCGAUUCAACCUGCCACCUCUGGCAAAGCCCACGUCUCCACCCUGGGUUCAGAUGCUACCGUCUCUCUCCUGUGUCACUGGCAUUUUUUCCCAACUAGCACCUGCCCCUAAGUCUUGCUACCCCAAAUCGGUGGCGCAAGCUUUUGGCGCAAGUUCUUGCCAAAUCACAAGCUGUUGGCUUAUAAUGUUUGAAUAGCUCCCCCAUUGUUGACAGCAUAUACAGUUUGGAUUCCUUAGCAUUGGAUAUAAGGCCUUUCAUAAUUGAGCCCCUAUUUCUCCAGCCCAAUAUAAUUUCUGCUAUUUUACUCAUUGGGAGUAA